rnacentral:rRNA from 1 species
GACGAACGCUGGCGGCGUGCUUAACACAUGCAAGUCGAACGAAGUGGCGAACGGGUGAGUAACGCGUAAUCAACCUGCCCUUCAGAGGGGGACAACAGUUGGAAACGACUGCUAAUACCGCAUACGGAAGGAGGGGUUUGCGUUUGAUUGGCUAGUUGGGGGGGUAACGGGCCACCAAGGAGAUGCACAGUAGGCGGUCUGGAAGGAUGAACGGCCAAAUUGGGACUGAGAAACGGCCCAGACUCCUACGGGAGGCAGCAGGGGGGAAUCUUCCGCAAUUGGCGAAAGUCUGACGGAGCAACGCCGCGUGAGUGAUGAAGGGCUUCGGGUUGUAAAGCUCUGUUAAUCGGGACGCGGUACCGGAAUAGAAAGCCACGGCUAACUACGUGCCAGCCGCCGCGGUAAUAC